rnacentral:lncRNA from 1 species
UUUUUUCUUUUUUUUUUUCUUUUUCAGGGCCAUACCUGCGGCAUAUGGAAGUUCCCAGGCUAGGGUUUGAAUCAGAGCUACAGCUGCUGGCCACAGCCACAGCAGCACCAGAUCCAAGCCACGUUUAUGACCUAUGCCACAGUUUGCAGCAAUGCUGGAUCCUUAACCCACUGAGUGAGGCCAGGGAUUGAACCCUCAUCCUCAUGGAUACUAGUUGGGUUCAUAAACUGCUGAGGCACAACAGGAACUCCCUAUCUGAGGAUUUAAUGAACCAGGUGUGUGUGGUCUCUGGUUCAUGGUAUUUAAAUGAAUAAUAAUUAUAAUAGUAAUAAAGAGGAGGGAGUGGAGGGGAGGAGGGGGAGCAGGCAGGAGGAGGAGGAAUAGUUGUAAUAGUAUUAGUAUUGCCACUAUUGUUACGUAUGUUCUAGAUCUGUUACUUACUUUUUAGAUAUGUGUCCACUGGCAGAACCUUUCACUUUUUUUUUUUGAGCUUUCAUUCACUUAAUGUAUAAAAUGGAAAUAAUGAGAGCUGCCUUAUGUAACUCAACAAAUUAAUUCAAGAAGUAGUUACACUUGAUAGGUGUGUGCCAGGCACUAAGGCAAUAGAGAUGAAUAAGACAUGAUUCCUGCCCUCAAGGAGUUUCAGUCUAGUGAGGAAGGCAGACAAGCAAACAGAGAAUGUUCAUACAGGAUGAAGCCUCCAUAAAAGGCCCAUGACGGGCUGGGUGUGGAUGCCCAUAGCGGGGAAUCCUUAUCUACUAGGUGUCAGGGAAGCUUUCUUGAAUCAGAGUUAGCCACAAAAGUGUUUUUCGCAGAGGGAAUAGGUAUCCAAAGGCUGAAAAGGCAAGAAAGAGUUGGUGAUUUAGCGAAUAAUAAUUUAAUCUGAUGAGAAGAGAGAAUCCAAGGAAGAGAGAGAUGCAAUAAAUUCUAAGAAGGUAAACAGGUGCCAGGUCAGAGGAGUCUCUUAAACCAUAUGAUGGAGCUUGGCCACUAUCAUGAAGUAGCCUGAACACAAAGCAGGUAUUAGAAACCAGUAUUAAAAUCUAAGUGAAAAUCCACUUUAAUUAUAAAGUUCCAUUCAAAUGUCGUCACUAUCAUUGGGUAUCUAUGUCUCCAGUGUGAGCUGUUGUGCCCUAGGUCAUUGCUAAUGGAACUGCCAGUCUGUCUUCUCCAAAAUUCGUGUGUUGAAAUCCUAACUCCAAGGUGAUGGUAUGUGGAGGUGGGGACUUUGGGAGGUGAUUAAGUCAUGAGGAUGGAACUUCUGUAUGGCAUUGGUGCCCUUAUAAAAGAGACCUCAGAGAGCUCCCCUUCUCCUUUUACUAUGUGAGGACACAGAGAGAAGACGGCAAGAAGUGAGCUCUCACCAAAUACCACAUCUGUCGAUGCCCUGAUCCUGGACUUUCCUCCCUCCAGAACUGAGAAAUACAUUUCUGUUGUUGAUAAUACAACCAGUCUCUGGUAUUUAGUUACAACAGGCUAAGAACAUAGCUCAUCUCAUUUUCUCCACCUCCCUAAUAUCGCACACAACACACACACACCCCAUAUAGGGAAAAAUAAUAAUACAUCAUAUGGUUGUUUGAAAUUGAAGUGUGAAGUCCUAUGCCUGCUCGCGGCCUGCAAGAAGCUCAGGAGGCCAACCAAAUGAACUAUCCUAGCUUUGUGGCAAUAGCUGCUGUCCAUGGUUCUAUUUUACUAAUUUUAUGUCCUCAGAAAUCAAGAGCUCCCAGAGAGGGGCUGGUCCCCCGACCCCAGGUUGCUUUCACUUGCUGUCAAACAGGGUUGCCCAGAGCACUGAAUGUGUUUUGCCUGAGGGAUGGAAGAUAAAGUCAAACCUAAACAGAGACCAUACUGCUUGCCCUCAGAUGUUUCUCUGUGCAGUGGUUGGGUCAAAUCUCUCAAAACUCCACAAGAAAAUGGAACCACUGAAGUUCCUAGAUGAAUAUUAAUGGUGCCAAUUUUUUUAAAUAUAAGCGUACCUUUAGAACUUUUGUUGUCCACCAUUCAUAACUGUUGCUGUCAGAUGGGCAGGCAGCCUCAAAGCCCUUGAGAAGCACUAAGUAAUCAUUUAUAUCGCCACUAAUAUGUUACAAAAGGCUUGAACAUUUAGUUAAAAAGUAAAAAUGAGGAAUCUGGGGAGGUGCCAGAGAAGUAAACUGGGAAGAAGUCCAUGGCAGAAGAAAGGAGACUUUGAUGCAUGCCAGGGGAGACAUAUAGAUGUACCAUUUUUAAUUGCUCUUUGGGUUGAAAAAUGAAAGUUUCUGCAACUGAGCCCUUUCAGAAGAAUUAUGUGAGGAAAGCUAUAAAGAUUUCCCAUACACAAGAAAAUAAAAUAUGCUCCUAACAAAGCUUCAAAAAGCAAAAUAUUGGAAGUUCCCUUCGUAGCUCAGCAGUUAACAAACCCAACUAGGAUCUAUAAGGAUGCAGGUUCAAUCCCUGGACUCACUCAGUGGGUUGGGGAUCUGGUGUUGCUGUGAGCUGUGGUGUAGGGAGGGUCGUGGAUGCGGCUGGGAUCCCAAGUUGCUGUGGCUGUGGCAUAGGCCAGCAGUUGUAGCUCCAAUUGGACCCCUAGCCUGGGAACUUCCAUAUGCCAUGGGUGUGGCUCUGAAAAAAAAAAAGGAAAGUAUUAUAAGAUGGGCAGCCCAUUAUUUGAGAUCACAGAGGCUUUCUAUUCUGGAAGGAGGAAGAGCUGGAGAACUUGCCUAGUUAAUCUUGGAAGAGAGACUGUUAAUCUUAUAAGUUAGUUCUGUAGACUUUGAUAAUCACAGUUACUUAGCUGACUUCGUUUUAAAUACCCAUCUUCCUGGAGUUCCUCAGGCUAUAGAAUAAUAUAAAUUAAUAACAAUCGUUACAUAUUUCUUGAAACUAACUUAUUAGGUUUUAGCAUCAUUGGAAUGAUUAUUAAUUAUUCGGUAAUAAUAUAGUUCGAAUUUACUGAAAAUAAUUUAUUGAAAUUAAUUAUAGAAGGUAGUCUUAAAUAAGCAAAAAAAAAAAUGAAUGAGACUAUAAAAAUCAAACUGAAAUAUUCUACAUCAGAUUCACACAUCCAUAGGAACACAGGCCCAAGGAAACCAGCUGUAAAUACAUGUGUUCUUAUAGAAAACUCCACUACCUAUAGGGUCGCCUUAGGGAGUGGCAGUAGGAAUAAGGGGUUGUUAGAGAAAUGCCUUUGCCAAAAAUUCCUAGCAUGAUCAGUGUCUCUGCAAGUAAUUGAUCAAAUGCCUUGGCAUCACUUCAAAUUAAUGAGUUUCUGCCUUAAAAAUCUUAAUUUCUGAUUUAUAAAUCUUUUCUGUCGAAUAUUUUCAGAAGGGAGUUCCCGUCGUGGCUCAGCGGCUUAAGAACCCAACUAGUAUCCGUGAGGAUGUGGUUUCUAUCCCUGGCCUCGCUCAGUGGGUUAAGAAAGCAGCACUGCUGGGAGCUGUGGUGUGGGUCACAGACACCACUGGGAUCUCAAGUUGCCGUGGCUGUGGUGUGGGCCGGCAGCUGCAUCUCUGAUUCAACCCCUAGCCUGGAAACUUCCAUAUGCCGCAGUUGUGGCCCUAAAAAGACAAUAAGACCAAAAGAAAAAACCAGAAUGUAAAGAGUAGAGGAAACCCAAAUGAUGAGCCAGCCAAAUUCUCCACUUUACAGAUGGAGAAGCUGCAGUCCCUUUAGAGAAGAAACUUGCCCAAAUCAGACAACUAGCCACUUAAAAGGGAAGGUGAUGGUAACAUCAAAAGAAUAAUAAAUUAUGAAAAACUUCAGGCCCUCCAAUCUGAUAACUUAGAGGAAAUGCAUCUCUUGUGUUUUAUUUUGUUUUGGCACUGCCUUUGUUUUUUCUAUAAAGGUAAGACUAUGUUUAUAAAAUAAAUCGAGAAGUUCCCAUUGUGGCUUAGCAGAAACAAAUCUGACUAGCAUCCGUGAGGACGCAGGACAAUCCUGGCCUCACUUAGUGAGUUAAGGAUCAUGUGUUGCCUUGAGCUGUGGUGUAGGUCUCAGAUGCAGCUCAGAUCUGGUGUUGCUGUGGCUGUGGCGUAAGCUGACAGCUAUAGCUCCCAUUCGACUCCUAGCCUGGGAACCUCCAUAUGCCGUGGUCGCAGCCAUAAAAAAAAUAAAAUAAAAUAAACUGAGGUGUUUCCUCCUAAAAGAAGAAGGAGGUGGAAGAGGAAGAAGGGGAAGAAGAAGGAGGAAAGGAAGAAGAGAAAGAAGAAGAGGAGGAAGAAGAGGAGCAGGAGGAGGAAAAGAAGAAGCAGAGGAGGAAGAAGAAAGAAGAGAAAAGAAAGGAAAACAGAGAAAGCUGUUUGAAGCUUCUGAUGCUUGAGACUUCUCUAUUUCCACUCUGAAAGAAGCUACAUAAUUUCCUAUAGAGUAACCUCUAUCUCAACUCCUGUCAGUUUUGGGAUUGUAUCAUUUCCUAUGGGCUCUGUUGCUGUUAUUAUUUAAUUCCUUAAAUUGACCUGAACUCAAGAUCUUCGUUGCAGUGAUUUAUUUUAAAAGUUUCACUGGGCAGUUUGUUGAAAGACUGAGCCAUUUUCUCAUCACAGUAUCACCCUUGAUCUAAGCUGUUUUUCACAUAAGCAGGAUCAAGAACAGGAAGUGGAAUCAAUCUCUUGCUUUGAUACUGAUCUUGCGUCCCUGGGUGGGUUCUGCCCCAGGCAGAGCAGCCUAGGCCUCCUGGACUUAAUAUUCUAAUUCCUGCUGCUGAGACAGCUCUAUGGACUUGAAACAGAACUCCUAGUUCUAGAUUAUCAUCUCUGCCUAGGGGACAGCCGUGUUCUGGUUUAACUUAACUUUUUUCUGAUGUUUAAGACACAUGAUCUAAAAUUUUAAAUGCUUGGGCCACUUAUAUCCAUGUUUCCAGAGAAGAAUGAACAUGCAAUAUCUAUUACUUUUCUGGCCUCUCAACGAGCAAUCCAGUCAAAAACAUCAAGGUCAGAAUGUUUUUCAAAUAACCCACAUCCCUGAUCCAAUCCCACUACACAUUUAUAAAAAUUUCUUCAAGAAAAUCAAACUAUCCAGCCAUAGAUUCGAAUGUAUUCUCUGAAACACCUGAGAGUCUCCGUUCUCACUGACACGUCGCAGAAAAUUUUACAUUUUUCCCCCUCUUUGAUAACCUCCUGGCUUUCUGCUGUUCCAUCGCCAGCUGGAUCAUAGUCCACUAACGGUGGUGGGUUCCAAAGAGACAGAAGGCUGUUUUCAAUCCAUUUGUUACUUUAAUGUCAAAGAAUCGCCCCAUAGGCCUUGUUAAAACCUCCCCUCAUCUAGAAAGAAAUGGAGGCACUAAGAUACUUGAGCAGCGACGUGGUAAUAUCACCAUCCGUCAGAGCUGAAAUAAUGGAGUGGAAGGAAAGCUAAGAGGGCUGUCGUGGGAAGCAUAUGACCAGCCCAGAAUGAACCUGCAAGAGCUGUUAGCAUGAGCUACCACACUGUUUAACUCUUGUGUUAUCAGACAUAAAAACAUCUUGCACACUUAUUCUCAAACUUUAGUUAGAAAAAUAUUGUGUGGGAGUUCUCCUCGUGGUUCAGUGGUUAACGAAUCCGACUAGGAACCGUGAGGUUGCAGGUUUGAUCCCUGGCCUUGCUCAGUGGGUUAAGGAUCCGGUGUUGCUGUGAGCUGUGGUGUAGGUCACAGACGUGGCUUGGAUCCCAUGUUGUUGUGGCUCUGGAGUAGGCCGGUGGCUACAGCUCCAAUUCGACCCCUAGCCUGGGAACCUCCAUGUGCCACGGGAAUGGCCCCAGAAAAGGCAAAAAAAAGACCAAAAGAAAAAAGAAAAAUCUUGUGUGCAGUCAAAACACUAGGAAAAAUAGAGUAAGAGGAGAAUAACUCAUGCACGAGUCUUAGAGAUUAUCCACUGCUCUUUAAAAAUGGGUCAGCUGGGAGUUCCCGUCAUGGCACAGUGAAAACAAGUCCAACUCGUACCCAUGAGGACGCCGGUUCGAACCCUGGCUUCACUAAGUGGCUCAGGAUCUGGUGUUGCCAUGAGCUGUGUGUGGUAUAGGUCACAGACACAGACGCAGCUUGGAUCCCACAUUGCUGUGGCUGUGGUGUAGGCCCGCAGCUGUAGCUCUGAUUCAGCCCCUCGCCUGGGAACUUCUGCAUGCUCUAGGUGCGGCCNAAAAAAAAAAAAAAAAAAAAAAAAAAAAAAAAAAAAGCAGGGUCGGCUAAAACCUGAAGAGAAGACGUAAUCAAGACACUUUUAAGUGACCUUAAUGUCAUAUGAAAUGUGAUUUGCCAGUAUUCUAUUCUAAUCUUGGCUCUGUCACUUAUUAGCUGCAUGAUACUAGGAAAUUUGCUGAACUUCUCCAAGCUUCAGUUCCCUCACCUGUAAAAUGGGUAUAACAAUAGUGCCUACCUUAUGAUGCUUUGUAAGAAUUAAAUGAGAUACGUGCAUAAAGUGAUAAGCACAUAGUAAACCUCUGAUAAGUGAUAGACAUCACCAUUAUUAGUUGGGAUGAGAAUUUUAGUAUGAGGCACCUAGGGAGAAAUGUCAACCCAGACUCCUCUGUGUCUCAGUCUCUUUCCCUAUCUCUCUUUCACAGGUGUGUUCUAUAACCACAGAAUAUAGAGUCAGGAAAUCUGGCAUUC